rnacentral:tRNA from 3 species
CGGGGCGUGGCGCAGCCUGGAAGCGCACCAGCAUGGGGGGCUGGGGGUCGCUGGUUCAAAUCCAGUCGCCCCGACCA